AGGGAUGACUGCAAUUACUGCGCGUAAAGAGUAUGUAGGUGGAAAGUUGAGUGGGAUGUGAAAGCCCGGGGCUUAACCUCGGAAUCGCAUUUGAAACUGGUUGGCUAGAGUACUGUAGAGGGGGGUGGAAUUUCAGGUGUAGCGGUGAAAUGCGUAGAGAUCUGAAGGAAUACCGGUGGCGAAGGCGGCCCCCUGGACAGAUACUGACACUGAGAUGCGAAAGCGUGGGGAGCAAACAGGAUUAGAUACCCUGGUAGUCCACGCCGUAAACGAUGUCUACUUGGAGGUUGUGGCCUUGAGCCGUGGCUUUCGGAGCUAACGCGUUAAGUAGACCGCCUGGGGAGUACGGUCGCAAGAUUAAAACUCAAAUGAAUUGACGG
rnacentral:rRNA from 1 species